rnacentral:rRNA from 1 species
GAUCCUGGCUCAGGAUGAACGCUGGCGGCGUGCUUAACACAUGCAAGUCGAACGAAGAGUUAUUAAAUGAGAGCUUCGGCAGGAAUUUAAUAAAUCUUAGUGGCGGACGGGUGAGUAACGUGUGGGCAACCUGCCUUAUACUGGGGAAUAAUCACUGGAAACGGUGACUAAUACCGCAUAAUGUCUUUUUACGGCAUCGUAAGAAGAAGAAAGGAGCAAUCCGGUAAAAGAUGGGGCCCGCAUCUGAUUAG